rnacentral:rRNA from 1 species
UACGUAGGGAGCAAGCGUUGUCCGGAAUCAUUGGGCGUAAAGCGCGCGUAGGUGGCUUCAUAAGUCCGUUGUGAAAGUCAAAGGCUCAACCUUUGAAAGCCGAUGGAUACUGUGGAGCUAGAGUACGGAAGAGGCGAGUGGAAUUCCUGGUGUAGCGGUGGAAUGCGCAGAUAUCAGGAGGAACACCCGUGGCUAAGGCGGCUCUCUAGUACGGUACUGACGCUGAGACGCGAAAGCGUGGGGAGCGAACAGG